rnacentral:tRNA from 2 species
GGGAGUAGCGCAGUUGGUUAGAGCGUCAGAUUGUGGUCCUGAAGGUCGCGGGUUCGACUCCCGUCUCC